AAUAAGAGGUCUAGCCUGCCCAGUGAAUUUUUAACGGCCGCGGUAUCCUAACCGCGCGAAGGUAGCAUAAUCACUUGUUCUUUAAAUGGGGACUCGUAUCAACGGCAUCACGAGGGUUUUACUGUCUCCUCUUUUUGAUCAGUGAAAUUGAUCUUCCCGUGAAGAAGCGGGAAUACUCAUAUAAGACGAGAAGACCCCAUGGAGCUUUAAACCAAAUAGCAACUUAACCAUAUAUUACCCAAUAAUUUUAAGCCCAUGCUAUAAGGUUUUUGGUUGGGGUGACCGCGGAGUAAAACACAUCCUCCACGACGAAAAGCCUAUAAGCUUUAUUUAAGAACUACAAUUCUAGAAAUUAGUACACUAACGUUUACUGACCCGACAAUCGAUCAACGGAACAAGUUACCCUGGGGAUAACAGCGCAAUCUACUUCAAGAGCCCAUAUCGACAAGUAGGCUUACGACCUCGAUGUUGGAUCAGGGUAUCCCAGUGGUGCAGCCG
rnacentral:rRNA from 1 species